GAUGAACGCUGGCGGUAUGCUUAACACAUGCAAGUCGAACGGUGUCUUCGGACAUAGUGGCGGACGGGUGAGUAACGCGUGAGAAUCUGCCUUCAGGAUGGGGACAACAGCUGGAAACGGCUGCUAAAACCCGAUGUGCCGAGAGGUGAAAUAUUUAUAGCCUGAAGAUGAGCUCGCGUCAGAUUAGCUAGUUGGUAAGGUAAAGGCUUACCAAGGCGACGAUCUGUAGCUGGUCUGAGAGGAUGAUCAGCCACACUGGGACUGAGACACGGCCCAGACUCCUACGGGAGGCAGCAGUGGGGAAUUUUCCGCAAUGGGCGAAAGCCUGACGGAGCAAUACCGCGUGAGGGAGGAAGGCUCUUGGGUUGUAAACCUCUUUUGAUCGGGAAGAAGACAGUGACGGUACCGAUCGAAUCAGCAUCGGCUAACUCCGUGCCAGCAGCCGCGGUAAUACGGAGGAUGCAAGCGUUAUCCGGAUUUAUUGGGCGUAAAGCGUCCGCAGGUGGUUGAGCAAGUCUGCUGUCAAAGCGCGGAGCUUAACUCCGUAAAGGCAGUGGAAACUGUUUAACUUGAGUACGGUAGGGGUAGCGGGAAUUCCCAGUGUAGCGGUGAAAUGCGUAGAUAUUGGGAAGAACACCAGCAGCGAAAGCGCGCUACUGGGCCUGUACUGACACUGAGGGACGAAAGCUAGGGGAGCGAAAGGGAUUAGAUACCCCUGUAGUCCUAGCUGUAAACGAUGGGUACUAGGUGUUGGCCGUAUCGACCCGGUCAGUGCCGUAGCUAACGCGUUAAGUACCCCGCCUGGGGAGUACGCACGCAAGUGUGAAACUCAAAGGAAUUGACGGGGGCCCGCACAAGCGGUGGAGUAUGUGGUUUAAUUCGAUGCAACGCGAAGAACCUUACCAGGGCUUGACAUGUCGCGAAUCCUCGGGAAACUGAGGAGUGCCUUCGGGAGCGCGAACCACAGGUGGUGCAUGGCUGUCGUCAGCUCGUGUCGUGAGAUGUUGGGUAAGUCCCGCAACGAGCGCAACCCACGUCUUUAGUUGCCAUCAUUCAGUUGGGCACUCUGGAGAGACUGCCGGUGACAAACCGGAGGAAGGUGUGGAUGACGUCAAGUCAGCAUGCCCCUUACGUCCUGGGCUACACACGUACUACAAUGCUGUGGACAGAGGGUUGCCAACUCGCGAGAGUGAGCUAAUCCCGUAAACCACGGCUCAGUUCAGAUUGCAGGCUGCAACUCGCCUGCAUGAAGGCGGAAUCGCUAGUAAUCGCAGGUCAGCAUACUGCGGUGAAUACGUUCCCGGGCCUUGUACACACCGCCCGUCACACCAUGGGAGUUGGCCACGCCCGAAGUCGUUACUCCAACCUUUUCGGAGGAGGAGGAUGCCGAAGGCAGGGCUGAUGACUGGGGUGAA
rnacentral:rRNA from 1 species